CGGGCGGUUAUUUUUGGGCGCGGCUUUGCCCGCGGCUUAUUUUUGGCACCCGGAGGCCCCUCGCAAAGUCUCGCCCCAUUCCGAGUCCGGCAGACGAACUUCGCCCGCGCCCCCCACCAAGGCUAUAGCCCACGACCCGUUUUUUGGCCAUUUUUCCGCUGGGGGGUUUUGGCACCACGGCCUUCGGGCGCUUAUUUUUGGGCGCGGCUUUGCCCGCGGCUUAUUUUUGGCACCCCGAGGCCCCUCGCAAAGUCUCGCCCCAUUCCGAGUCCGGUGGACGAACUUCGCCCGCACCCCCCAGCAAGGCUAUAGCCCACGACCCGUUUUUUGGCCAUUUUUCCGCUGGGGGGUUUUGGCACAACGACCUUCGGGCGCUUAUUUUUGGGCGCGGCUUUGCCCGCGGCUUAUUUUUGGCACCCCGAGGCCCCUCGCAAAGUCUCGUCCCAUUCCGAGUCCGGCGGACGAACUUCGCCAGCGCCCCCCACCAAGGCUAUAGCCCACGACCCGUUUUUUGGCCAUUUUUAAGCUGGGGGGUUUUGGCACCACGGCCUUCGGGCGCUUAUUUUUGGGCGCGGCUUUGCCCGCGGCUUAUUUUUGGCACCCCGAGGCCCCUCGCAAAGUCUCGCCCCAUUCCGAGUCCGGCGGACGAACUUCGCCCGCGCCCCCCACCAAGGCUAUAGCCCACGACCCGUUUUUUGGCCAUUUUUCCACUGGGGGGUUUUGGCACCGCGACCUUCGGGCGCUUAUUUUUUGGCGCGGCUUUGCCCACGGCUUAUUUUUGGCACCCCGAGGCCCCUCGCAAAGUCUCACCCCAUUCCGAGUCCGGCGGACAAACUUCGCCCGCGCCCCCCACCAAGGCUAUAGCCCACGACCCGUUUUUUGGCCAUUUAUACGCUGGGGGGUUUUGGCACCACGACCUUCUGGCGCUUAUUUUUGGGCGCGGCUUUGUCCGCGGCUUAUUUUUGGCACCCCGAGGCCCCUCGCAAAGUCUCGCC
rnacentral:lncRNA from 1 species